rnacentral:rRNA from 1 species
CCUACGGGAGGCAGCAGUGGGGAAUUUUGGACAAUGGGCGAAAGCCUGAUCCAGCAAUGCCGCGUGAGUGAAGAAGGCCUUCGGGUUGUAAAGCUCUUUUGUCAGGGAAGAAACGGUGAGAGCUAAUAUCUUUUGCUAAUGACGGUACCUGAAGAAUAAGCACCGGCUAACUACGUGCCAGCAGCCGCGGUAAUACGUAGGGUGCAAGCGUUAAUCGGAAUUACUGGGCGUAAAGCGUGCGCAGGCGGUUUUGUAAGUCUGAUGUGAAAUCCCCGGGCUCAACCUGGGAAUUGCAUUGGAGACUGCAAGGCUAGAAUCUGGCAGAGGGGGGUAGAAUUCCACGUGUAGCAGUGAAAUGCGUAGAUAUGUGGAGGAACACCGAUGGCGAAGGCAGCCCCCUGGGUCAAGAUUGACGCUCAUGCACGAAAGCGUGGGGAGCAAACAGGAUUAGAUACCCUGGUAGUCCACGCCCUAAACGAUGUCUACUAGUUGUCGGGUCUUAAUUGACUUGGUAACGCAGCUAACGCGUGAAGUAGACCGCCUGGGGGAGUACGGUCGCAAGNUUAAAACUCAAAGGAAUUGACCGGNUGAGAGAGCGAGGACGACACGAGGGAGGAGG